GAUAUAGACCGCUGUACAGAUAU
rnacentral:siRNA from 1 species